rnacentral:lncRNA from 1 species
CACUGUUAACUUGACAGUAGCAAAGAUUCAUUUUUAGUGUAUCAUUCAUCCAUUGGUAUAGAGAUAGAGAGAGAACAAGAAAAGGAAGAUUAUAAACUUGGUGCGUGGGUUGGGUCUUCGUAGUACGUUUAAAGAGUGAGGGGUUUAUGAGCGUGGUGGCUACGUGGGUUUAUUUAACUUAGCCAUGGUAAAAUUUGACCGUGUGUCAUGGUUUACAAUAACCGUAACGACUCGGAUAAAGUUUCAAAGCGAGAGGUGAUGACCAGACAGGCUGGACGGAAGGACGAAUGGACCUCUUGGUCACCGUAUAAAUGGUUUUAUGAAAUAUCGGUUCACUGCUUAACCGGAAAUCGAUCAUUUGGUUUAAUCAAAUUGUUUACCGGGUUGAAAACUUUGUCCAGUUUCUUUUUUUUACUUCCGAGUCAUCAUUUUUUCUUUUUGAAAGAAUUUUAAAUUUUAUUCACU